GUGCAGUACUGCUAACCUGGGAGAGGCCAGUGGGAAGGUGGGUGGCUGCUGGCUGGCAGCCCUCUCUCAGUGGUUAGGGAGCAGCUUGGGCCUCUGCACUGUGUUGGAAACUCCUUGCAUGCUGAAUUGCAGGCCCUGAGUGACUGACUGAGACCUCAGGGAGAUAUAGGGUCAGCAUUAUUUGUGAGAGCAAUUGAUCGUUUGCAGGGCCUGGUUAGCCAUUUCUGUAGACAAAUGAGAGCAUUUUCUUGCAGCUGAGCUGGAUGCUUAAGGGGAGUUGAGUAGAAACAAUCCCAAUACAAGUCUACUCAUUCACACCCACACACACCCACACACACCCAUACACACUCACACACACCCAUACACACACACACUCACACACACCCAUACACACACACACACCCAUACACACCCACACACACCCAUACACACUCACACACACCCACACACCCCCAUACACACCCACACACACCCAUACAUACUCACACACACCCAUACACACACACACACACCCAUACACACACACUACACACACUCACAUCUCCACACACUACACAUACACUCACAGCUUCACACACUACACACACCCACACACUCACACCCACAAACUCAGACUCCACAAACCCACAUGCACUCACACCUCCACACACUACACACACAUACUCACACCUCCACACACUACACACACACACUCACACCUCCACACACUACACAUACACUCACAGCUUCACACACUACACAUCUACCCACUCACACACACACACACACAUUCAGACCCCACACACCCACACACACUCAUAUACUCACAUCUCCACACACUACACACACCCACACACUCACAUACACACUACACACACACUCAUACCUUCAUACACUAUACACACCCACACACCCACACACACCACACACACACCCCUCACAAACACCACACACAGUCAUACACCACACACUCACACAUACCACAUCCCUACACUUCCAUACCCACACACCCCACACACACACCCCACAACACACCACACACACACCACAUCCCAUACAUACCCUACACACUCACACACAUACCACAUGCAUACAGCACAUAUACACUCACGUAUACACACACUCUCAUACACACACACCACACACACCACACAUCCCAUACACACACACACACUCACUCAGAUGGUGAAAGCAAGCAGUGUUCAUGGUCAUCUCUCC
rnacentral:lncRNA from 1 species